rnacentral:rRNA from 1 species
AUGAAUGGCAUAUUAAUCAAUCAUGCUAGCUGUCAACAUGAUGGAUUUACACCAACAGAAAUUAGGCUCAGAUACACUGAAAAAACUAUGUAUAUAUAUAUGCAGCUCAGCACAUGCGUGUUUUCGACGGAAAAGCAGCUACAGAAACUAGAAACAUGUAUGUAUAUAUGUGCACAUCAUCAUGCCCCCAGAUUGCUUACCCCAGACAAGAGCAAAUUCUCAAUCACAAGCAACAUACUCAAUAAACAAAUUAUUAAUGGCAGGAAGGAAUGCAGCAAACUGGGCAGAGGCAAGUCCAAACAUCACUUGUUAUUAUUAUUAGUAGUACAUAAUAAAGCGAAAGUGCCGCAACAGAAACCGUUUGCAAAACAAAAAACAAGCAUGAGUUACUACAAUCCUUAG